GUGUAAUCAGGGGAAGUCAUUGCAAGCCGAACAGAAGGCUUUGUGUUGAAGGACAGCCAUUGAAGUUCAAAAGGCUUAGCCGAGGUCAAGCCGGCAAUGUCAGAGUCACAGGGAGCUGGGAGGAUCCUGUGGAGGUAGAUGAGAAAGUAUAAAGAAAGAACCCAAACAGGAAGCUGCUGGCUGUCGCUCUUUGGGAUCCUAAAGGUUACUGAGCAUGUGCUGUAAUGGAGAGUACCAACGUAUAAGCUCUAGGUCAUUAUGCCCAAGUUGCACGUGGACCUGUGAGGUGCUAGAAAGGACACCGUGUAUUCUUCACCGUGUAUCUUUACCGUGAGAGAGCACUUCAUCUACGGAAUUCCAGGAAAGCCAUGGAGUGAAGCUAUCUGGUAUCACUAGUCCUGGCUACUAGAUGUCAAAAAUGAGGCUGAUAGAAAUCAUCACCACCACCAUCAUCAUCACCAUCAGCAGCAUCACCAGCAGCAUCAGCAUCACCACCAUCACAACAGACAAGAGGUAGACUCAGGGCAAUGCUUUGAAAUAACCAUUGUCUCCACAGGUCAGAGUAAAAAACCCUCAGAUCUGAGACUUACUCUUUAGUGACAUGGCCUGAGCAAGGGACAGAAAACCCUGAAGUGUUAGUUCAGAUCUUGUAAAUAGAAUCCUGUGAGGAACAGCCUUAAGACUGAAUUGCAAAUCUGGCUCCCUGGUUUGGCACACCUUCAGGUCAUGGUUGGUUUCCUUGACUUCUCUUCAUCCCUAGAUAUCGAUAAAAGCUGUAAAAACAAGUUUCCUAUGAAAGACCAUGGCCUCUAACAUGAAGCCUGUUUGGUUAUAAAGCAAGAUUAAAUGGACUUUUCGACAAAUACU